GGCUUCCUUCUUUUGAUUGAACUACCCAGCCUGCCCACUGCGGAUCUUGGGACUCCAGCCUCCACGAUAAUGAUAAACCAAAUGAGAAAUUAUUUGAAAUUCUAUCAACCCCAAUGUUCCUGAGAGCCAGGCUUUUCAGCGUGAGAUAACAGGGAAAAGAGAAAGAAGCAGCGCAACAGAAGUUUCAUAACAGUGUAACUCCAGCAGGACACCUCCACAUGAGUGGCUUUCCAUAGUACCAUACCGGGCAGAUUGCCAGCAAGUUCUACCAGCUUAGCACCACAGUGACUUCUCUGUCAUCUGGUGAGCCCAUGAUCACCAAUAAAGGUCUGGAUCUCA